rnacentral:rRNA from 1 species
UGGGGAAUUUUGGACAAUGGGCGAAAGCCUGAUCCAGCAAUGCCGCGUGUGUGAAGAAGGCCUUCGGGUUGUAAAGCACUUUUGUCCGGAAAGAAAUCCUUGGCUCUAAUACAGUCGGGGGAUGACGGUACCGGAAGAAUAAGCACCGGCUAACUACGUGCCAGCAGCCGCGGUAAUACGUAGGGUGCAAGCGUUAAUCGGAAUUACUGGGCGUAAAGCGUGCGCAGGCGGUUUGCUAAGACCGAUGUGAAAUCCCCGGGCUCAACCUGGGAACUGCAUUGGUGACUGGCAGGCUAGAGUAUGGCAGAGGGGGGUAGAAUUCCACGUGUAGCAGUGAAAUGCGUAGAGAUGUGGAGGAAUACCGAUGGCGAAGGCAGCCCCCUGGGCCAAUACUGACGCUCAUGCACGAAAAGCGUGGGGAGCAAACAGGAUUAGAUACCCUGGUAGUCCACGCCCUAAAACGAUGUCAACUAGUUGUUGGGGAUUCAUUUCCUUAGUAACGUAGCUAAACGCGUGAAGUUGACCGCCUGGGGGAGUACGGUCGCAAGAUUAAAAACUCAAAUGAAUUGAC